rnacentral:rRNA from 1 species
UACAGAGGUCCCGAGCGUUGUUCGGAUUCACUGGGCGUAAAGGGUGCGCAGGUGGCGUGGUAAGUUUGAUGUGAAAGCCCCGGGCUUAACCCGGGAACGGCAUUGAAUACUACCAGGCUUGAGGGUUGGAGGGGGGACUGGAAUUCUUGGUGUAGCAGUGAAAUGUGUAGAGAUCGGGAGGAACACCGGUGGCGAAGGCGGGUCUCUGGGCAUUUCCUGACGCUGAGGCGCGAAAGCGUGGGGAGCAAACGGG